rnacentral:rRNA from 1 species
AUUGAACGCUGGCGGCACGCCUAACACAUGCAAGUCGAGCGGCAGCGAGACUAGUAGCAAUACUAGUUGUCGGCGAGCGGCGGACGGGUGAGUAACACGUAGGAAUCUGCCCUUAAGCGGGGGAUAACCAAGGGAAACUUUGGCUAAUACCGCAUAAUCUCGAGAGAGCAAAGCUGCCCGCAAGGGUGGCACUUGAGGAGGAGCCUGCGUCCGAUUAGCUAGUUGGUGGGGUAAUGGCCUACCAAGGCGAAGAUCGGUAACUGGUCUGAGAGGACGACCAGGCACACUGGGACUGAGACACGGCCCAGACUCCUACGGGAGGCAGCAGUGGGGAAUAUUGGACAAUGGGGGCAACCCUGAUCCAGCGAUGCCGCGUGAGUGAAGAAGGCCUUCGGGUCGUAAAGCUCUUUAGGUUGGGAAGAAGGGUAUUGGCUGAAUAAUCCAGUACUUUGACGGUACCGACAGAAUAAGCACCGGCAAACUCUGUGCCAGCCGCCGCCGUAACAC